AGACCCGAAACCCGGUGAUCUAGCCAUGGGCAGGUUGAAGGUUGGGUAACACUAACUGGAGGACCGAACCGACUAAUGUUGAAAAAUUAGCGGAUGACCUGUGGCUGGGGGUGAAAGGCCAAUCAAACCGGGAGAUAGCUGGUUCUCCCCGAAAGCUAUUUAGGUAGCGCCUCGUGAAUUCAUCUCCGGGGGUAGAGCACUGUUUCGGCUAGGGGGCCAUCCCGGCUUACCAACCCGAUGCAAACUGCGAAUACCGGAGAAUGUUAUCACGGGAGACACACGGCGGGUGCUAACGUCCGUCGUGAAGAGGGAAACAACCCAGACCGCCAGCUAAGGUCCCAAAGUCAUGGUUAAGUGGGAAACGAUGUGGGAAGGCCCAGACAGCCAGGAUGUUGGCUUAGAAGCAGCCAUCAUUUAAAGAAAGCGUAAUAGCUCACUGGUCGAGUCGGCCUGCGCGGAAGAUGUAACGGGGCUAAACCAUGCACCGAAGCUGCGGCAGCGAACGUAUCACCCAAGACAACUUUACGGAGUUGACGAUUGACGGAGCGAAGCGACGUCAAAGCGUUCAUUAAAGUCGAGUUGGCUUAGGGAUACGUUCGUUGGGUAGGGGAGCGUUCUGUAAGCCUGUGAAGGUGUGUCGUGAGGCAUGCUGGAGGUAUCAGAAGUGCGAAUGCUGACAUAAGUAACGAUAAAGCGGGUGAAAAGCCCGCUCGCCGGAAGACCAAGGGUUCCUGUCCAACGUUAAUCGGGGCAGGGUGAGUCGACCCCUAAGGCGAGGCCGAAAGGCGUAGUCGAUGGGAAACGGGUUAAUAUUCCCGUACUUGGUGUUACUGCGAAGGGGGGACGGAGAAGGCUAUGUUGGCCGGGCGACGGUUGUCCCGGUUUAAGCGUGUAGGUGUGUGUUCCAGGUAAAUCCGGUUCACUUUAACACUGAGGCGUGACGACGAGGCACUACGGUGCUGAAGCAACAAAUGCCCUGCUUCCAGGAAAAGCCUCUAAGCAUCAGGUAACACGAAAUCGUACCCCAAACCGACACAGGUGGUCAGGUAGAGAAUACCAAGGCGCUUGAGAGAACUCGGGUGAAGGAACUAGGCAAAAUGGUGCCGUAACUUCGGGAGAAGGCACGCUGACACGUAG
rnacentral:rRNA from 2 species